UACGUAGGGGGCGAGCGUUAAUCGGAAUUACUGGGCGUAAAGUGUGCGCAGGCGGCCGCGCAAGUCGAGUGUGAAAGCCCCGAGCUUAACUUGGGAAUUGCGCUCGAAACUACGUGGCUGGAGUGUGGCAGAGGAAGGUGGAAUUCCACGUGUAGCGGUGAAAUGCGUAGAGAUGUGGAGGAACACCGAUGGCGAAGGCAGCCUUCUGGGCCAACACUGACGCUCAUGCACGAAAGCGUGGGGAGCAAACAGG
rnacentral:rRNA from 1 species